ensembl:lncRNA
CACACGCACGCGCACACACACACACACACACACACACACACACACACACUCACCGUACACUCCCUGGCAGCGGACGCCCUCCACGAUCAGCGCCAGCAGCCCCAAAACACAGACGAUUAGAUCCAUCCUGUCACGUUAGUCUCUUGCUGCAUAUCCCUCCUCUCGGUGGCAAGAAGGUCCUUUCCGGGGCGGCGCGCGUCGAUCGAUUCGGUGUCAAGAGGCGGCUGCGAAGGUAUGCGCGGUCCGCGGGACGCGCGGACUGUCGUUUAGAUGUCCGCGUCCAUGCAGUCAGUCAGGACGUGGAAGAUGCGGGAGAGAGAGAGAGUGGGGGGAGAGGGGGGGGGGGCUAAUAAGCGCCCCGGCCUCUGGAACAGACAGCGACGUCUCCUCGACGCGUCCGACCCCGUUGGACUUCAGCGGAGACCCGCGAGGCAGCGGGCCGAGGGGGCGCACUGGUGCUGUCGGCUGCCGGCGGACGGAGGCUCGAUGCCCGCGGGCAUGCCGCGCCUUUGCCGAAUCCGGCUGUGGUCACGGCUCGCUCCGCGGAUGCAGCUGCUGCUCCGCUGACUGCAUGCUGUCCAAAACCGCCUCGCGCCCCUCAACAACAACAAAAACAACAACAACAAAAAAACGCACAGAUUUUCACCUCGUCCGGUGGUCGUCGCGCUCACACACACACACACACAGUCACAUCACGGCUGCACCCCGACGCCGCGCGCGCUCCGCUCCGUCUCUCCCGGCGUGGCGGUGACAAACGGAUGGGGGGGGGGGGACUGGUGUCCAGUCCUCGGCGUUAGGAGACUACACUUUUCUAGUGCAUUCACGGUGGGAGCCGGAUGUGGCCGCCCUGCGAAGCCAGUCGAGCGUCAGUCACGUCGCGCGCGCGCGGGCGAGUGUGGCACCGCGGCCCCGGUCCGUGGCUACGUCAAGAGGCGCGUGGCGUCCUGCGCUCAUCAGUAUGGGAGGCUUCGCCCAGCGGUCGGGAAAGGCAGGAGAGGCGCAGCUGCUGGAAGCAGAGAC